CGGUGGCCAAAGCAUCCUGUCCGCCCGGGCGGCUUCGCACCUGAGUGCCACCUUGCGGCGCUGCAGCGCGCCUCCCGCCUCAGCCUGCAGGGACAGACGCUGCUCCCGGGGUCGCCUCAGGCCCAGUCUGAGCCUUGGGAAAGCAUCGUGGUGACCAGCGUCCUCCCCACCUCGCCCAGGAGUUCUCACGCCAGGGCUCGGGCCUUGACGCUCCCCCUCGGAGCGGCCCUGGUCGGGGUGCGAGGUCCCCCCUUACGGGGAUCUUGGGGCUCGGCCUCCCUACCUAGGGCGGCAGAGUGCUCCAGAUCCCCGUCCUCACCUCGUUCCAUCCCUCACCCCUCUAACUUUCUACCUCUGACCUUUUCCCCUCUUCCUGGCCCCCAUCGGUGAAGGCGAUGGCCGGCUUCCCCCUCCUUCGCAGGGAACUUCUUCAGCUUCUCGUGCGUGCGGGAUGUCGGGAGGGUCAGAAGUGGGGUCCCGGCUGGCACUGCCGCCUCCUCCCCUUUCCAGGCUGCGCCCCACAGCGUGGCCUCAGGAUGGGAGGUCCGGGAGGGUAGGGGGCCACCAGCUGAUGUUGGGGGAACCCACAUAGGAAGGGAGGACCCCAGCCUCCCUCACCUCAGUGUGGCCGGGGCUACCUGGCCCUGGGGUGUGGCUGUCGCUGGGAUAUCUCUCUGUCUCCGGCAUCCCACAGGGAUCCCAUCCUCCCCAGGGACUGCAGUGAGGGGACAGGCCGGGGCCACCAGAAGCAGGUGGUGGUGCUCACUGCACCGUGGCCAACAGCCGGGACAGGAGGGCAGGACGGACAGGAGCCUGGCACUCAGUGGCGGUGGGGCAAAAGAGCUGCAGCGUGUAGCAUCCAGGAGGCUGUGCAGCUGCCUUGCCAGGGCCAGGGGCUUCACAGAACCAGGGCCUGUGACCCCCAGUUCCUGGCAGCAGUGA
rnacentral:lncRNA from 1 species